rnacentral:lncRNA from 1 species
GAUGAUAACCAUAUCAAGGUUUUUUUUUUUUUUUUUUUGAGAAUAGGUAGCACGCUACCUGCUUCAUUCAAUGGAAGGGUGAAUUAGGCUACAGAGGUGAGGCAUCGAGGGCCUCGUGAACACAUUAAAAAAAAAAAAAGAAAAAAAAAGAAAAAAAGAAGAAGCAUAUAUAUAUAUAUGUAUAUAUAUAUACAUAUGUAUAUGUAUAUAUAUAUGUAUAUAUAUAUACAUAUAUAUAUAUACAUAUACAUGUAUAUAUAUAUAUAUAUGUAAAGAAGGCAAUUAAGGAAGGUCUAUCCAAGAGUCAAUCAGGAACUUGAGCCUGCGCACCACAGUUACUGGGUCAAACUGUAUGCCUCGAAAGAUAACGUCGUUCCUAACUUUCCAAAUGGUCCACCAGCACGCUGCUAACUCGGGUAAUCCGUGCCUCCUAUUUAGUCCACCAUCCCUACGUCUCCACCUAUCCCAGACUUCAAGUACAUCAUCACCCAAUUCCCCGGACUGAACUUCUUCGAGUCCCGCGACCAUGAUAUACUUGGUAAAGACACAUUGAGUGAAUAGAUGAUCCACAGACUCGUCAUGAACCGUACACAGCGCACAAGUCGUACUUCCAGACCACCCUGUCAGACUGAGGUUGACCGCCGUAAGAGUUCUUUUCUUAAGGACAAGCCAACAGAACACUUUGAUCUUGAGUGGGAUUCGGAGUCUCCAAACCAAGCUACUCCGCCCGUCUCUCGUGCCCCUGUCGUUCAAUAUGCGAUAGGUCGAUCGUACUGAGAAUAUAUUAUUAGUAUCCCAUCUCCACCCUAUCCUGUCCUCUGUCUGUCCAAUACAAACGCUAGAAACUCUCUCUUUGAGUUUUGAGAGGGUGCAACGCAAGCUCGGUGUAACAGAAGUUUCCUCGCCCAAGAUCCUAUUCCAAUCCCAAUCGUUGCCGCCAAAGCAAUCCCGGACCAGGAUGGGUUUUCGAACCGGCUGUGUGAACAACUCCGGGAAGGACGCUUGGAGUGUGGUAUUCCCACACCAUCUGUCAAGCCAAAAAUCAACCGAUGCCCCAUUACCCAGAUGAUAGUUGGUCCCCCAUUUGAAAAUAUCCUUGGUGGCAAGCACCCCCUUCCACCAGUAUGAAGACGGCCGGAAACCUCUCCCCUCCCACAGCGGUCUUCUUCUUCGGUAGUACAAAGCACGGAUAAGCUUGAUCCACGGCAAAUUGGAUAUAGUAUAGUAUCUCCACCACCAUUUGACUAGGAGAGCCGUAUUCAUGUCGGCUAUAUCUAGGAUGCCUAAACCACCUGCCCGUUUGCUCAAACAGACAUUUUUCCAUGCGACCAGACACCCCCUGCCAGGGAUGUCGCAUUGGCCACUCCAAAAGAAAUCCCUGCGUAGUGCUUCGAUGCGCUUGAUGACCCAUUUGGGUGCCUUGAACACUGUCAGGAAGUACAGUGGCAGAUUGGUGAGCACCGCAUUGACAAGGAUAAGUCUACCCCCUCUCGAGAGAAGUUUGGCCUGCCAUGCACCCGUCUAUUCUGUGCUGUAUUUUCUGAAUAACCCCUCUCCAGUCCUCCUUUGUGGGGGGUUUUGGUGAGAGUGGUAGACCUAGAUACGUGGUAGGGAGGGAACCAACUUUACAAUCGAGCAACUGCGCAAGUCUCUCCGCUUUACCCUCAAUCCGUCCUAGGUAGUAAAGCUCGGACUUUUCUCUGUUGAUUUUCAACCCAGAUGCCCACUCGAAGAGAUUCCACAUCAGUCGGAUAUUUCUCAUAAAUCGUUUUCUAGCCACGGAGAAGAAGAACGUAUCGUCCGCGAACUGUGUAAGUGCCGUUAAACUCUCGUGUGAAGGGCCAAUCCCCAUGAAGAGGUUGUUUGAGAUUGCCAUGCUGGACAAUCUAGCGAGACACUCCGCCACCAGCAGGAACAGGAAUGGUGAGAGUGGAUCUCCUUGACGUACCCCUCUCUUAGUUUUGAUCCAGUUAGUUGCCUCACCAUUAACUAAAAUGGCUACCUUAGCGUUGCACACACAUUGUUUGAUCCAUUCACACCACUGCUCCUCGAAUCCCCACCAUCGGAGAAUGCUGAAGAGAAAGGGCCAGUAAAUUCUAUCGUAGGCCUUUUCGAAGUCCACUUUUAUGCCAACUCCCUCAAUGGCCUCCUUACAACCCCCCCAAUUAGUUCAGAGACUGUUACGUACGCGUCGGUAAUGUUUCUCCCUUUUAAGAAAGCGGAUUGAGAGGGAGAGAUUAACUCAUUCAUAACAGCAGCUAGUCGAUUUGCGAGGACCUUCGAAAUAAUCUUUUGGAUUCCGUUUAUAAGACUGAUCGGCCGGAACUCGUUAGCCCUUUCCGCCCCUUCUCUCUUAGGGAUGAGACAGAUGAAUGAGUAAUCAAAAGGAGCAAUCGAAAUCCUGCCUUCAUAUAGAAAGACCAAUGAGUAAUCAAAAGGAGCAGUCGAAAUCCUCCAUAUCAAGGUUGAUGGUGAUAAUAUUUGAUCUAGAAAGACCAAUGCCCAUCUUUAGGUAUACCCAUCCCUUUCUUCUAACAUUGAGAUAUUUAUAUAACCAUGCCUUAAUUCAAUCCUUUUCAUAGGUAAUACUCUUUUUCAACUUACGAAAAGAUUGCAUUAUGUGCGGUAAAAAAAUAUUACAGAAAAAUAUAAUAUUUGUUUCCAUACGUGAUAUCAGAUUUCACAUAUUGUAAUAAAUUAAUUACGAUAUAUUUUCUAUAGUCAUACCAAAGAAUAAAAAAGUAUAUUUUUAUAAGCUUUUGUCCCGAUAUUUUUUUGGUUUAAUAGCAUUAAAUAGGUGUCAAUCUCAGGUGAGGCCUAAAUUAUGUAGUGAACUCUUAUUCAUGGAAUUAAUAUUGCUCAAGUAUCCAAAAUAACAAAAAUAAAUAAAAAUAGGGAAAGAAUAAAAACUCUCACUCUCACUCUUCGUGGUUUCGUGGUGAUUUGGUUUAUAUGGUGCGAGACAUUUAAUAAAGUGAAAAACAAGGCAUUAUAUCUCAUGGCCCUAAUGAAAAGGGUUUCAAAGCGUUCCUUCGUUGAAGGAUUUUUCAUCUUUUUUCGACUUGGCAUUAUAUCUCAUGGCCCUAAUGAAAAGGGUCUUUUUCAUCUUUUUCCGACUAUCUUUGGAUCUUUUUUACUUUAGCAUUGUUUUCUUUCUUGCUGUUCGUCUUUCGCCUCGGAAGCCUGAGCUUUUUCCAUA